UGGGGAAUCUUCCGCAAUGGGCGAAAGCCUGACCCAGCAACGCCGCGUGAGGGAAGAAGGGUUUCGGCUCGUAAACCUCUGUCCUAUGGGACGAAGGAAGUGACGGUACCAUAGGAGGAAGCCCCGGCUAACUACGUGCCAGCAGCCGCGGUAAUACGUAGGGGGCGAGCGUUGUCCGGAAUGAUUGGGCGUAAAGGGCGCGUAGGCGGCCUGCUAAGUCUGGAGUGAAAGUCCUGCUUUCAAGGUGGGAAUUGCUUUGGAUACUGGUAGGCUGGAGUGCAGGAGAGGAAAGCGGAAUUACCGGUGUAGCGGUGAAAUGCGUAGAGAUCGGUAGGAACACCAGUGGCGAAGGCGGCUUUCUGGACUGUAACUGACGCUGAGGCGCGAAAGCGUGGGGAGCAAACAGGAUUAGAUACCCUGGUAGU
rnacentral:rRNA from 1 species